rnacentral:rRNA from 1 species
GUCGACCUGCAGGCGGCCGCGAAUUCACUAGUGAUUAGAGUUUGAUCAUGGCUCAGAACGAACGCUGGCGGCAUGCCUAACACAUGCAAGUCGAACGAACCCUUCGGGGUUAGUGGCGCACGGGUGCGUAACGCGUGGGAAUCUGCCCUUGGCUUCGGAAUAACAGUUAGAAAUGACUGCUAAUACCGGAUGAUGUCUUCGGACCAAAGAUUUAUCGGCCAGGGAUGAGCCCGCGUAGGAUUAGGUAGUUGGUGGGGUAAAGGCCUACCAAGCCGACGAUCCUUAGCUGGUCUGAGAGGAUGAUCAGCCACACUGGGACUGAGACACGGCCCAGACUCCUACGGGAGGCAGCAGUGGGGAAUAUUGGACAAUGGGCGCAAGCCUGAUCCAGCAAUGCCGCGUGAGUGAUGAAGGCCUUAGGGUUGUAAAGCUCUUUUACCCGGGAUGAUAAUGACAGUACCGGGAGAAUAAGCCCCGGCUAACUCCGUGCCAGCAGCCGCGGUAAUACGAAUCGAAUUCCCGCGGCCGCC